rnacentral:rRNA from 1 species
UAGGGAAUCCUCCACAAUGGACGCAAGUCUGAUGGAGCAACGCCGCGUGAGUGAAGAAGGUCUUCGGAUCGUAAAACUCUGUUGUUAGAGAAGAACACGAGUGAGAGUAACUGUUCAUUCGAUGACGGUAUCUAACCAGCAAGUCACGGCUAACUACGUGCCAGCAGCCGCGGUAAUACGUAGGUGGCAAGCGUUGUCCGGAUUUAUUGGGCGUAAAGGGAACGCAGGCGGUCUUUUAAGUCUGAUGUGAAAGCCUUCGGCUUAACCGGAGUAGUGCAUUGGAAACUGGAAGACUUGAGUGCAGAAGAGGAGAGUGGAACUCCAUGUGUAGCGGUGAAAUGCGUAGAUAUAUGGAAGAACACCAGUGGCGAAAGCGGCUCUCUGGUCUGUAACUGACGCUGAGGUUCGAAAGCGUGGGUAGCAAACAGGAUUAGAUACCCUGGUAGUCCACGCCGUAAACGAUGAAUGCUAGGUGUUGGAGGGUUUCCGCCCUUCAGUGCCGCAGCUAACGCAAUAAGCAUUCCGCCUGGGGAGUACGACCGCAAGGUUG